CGUGAGGGAGAAGCGCGCGCGCGGCCCCGUCGCCGCCUUAGCGCUCCCCCUGAGGGAACAGAACUGGAGUGACGGAAAAGAGAGUCAAAAACAGCCAAAAAGUGACAGAGCCACAGGGUCAUAGAAUAUCCUGUGUUGGAAGGGGACACGCGAGGAUCAUCAAAGUAUUACUCGCCCUGCACGGGACACCCCAACAACUCCGCUGAGCCCUCGGGGUUUCCUCAAGCAAAGACUUCUAACUGAUGGAGAGCAGCCCAGGAGAGAAGGAUUUUAGGUGCUGGUGGAGGAGAGCUGGACAUGCCCCAGGAACCCCCCGAGGCACGGGCAGCAGGGGAGGGGGGGGCUCUGUCCCUCUGCCCUGCUCAGAGACCUGGCAGCCAGCACAGCUCCUGGGAUAGCACUGAAAUACACAUGGUCCAGCAACGGGCACCAUUCCAGUUGUGCAGGGACUCC